ACUCUCUCUCUCAUUAUGUGUGUUUGUUUGUUUGUUGGUUUGUGUACUUGUUUAUACAAUGUGACAUGUGAUUGAUCAGAACAUCCCUAUAUGCUCUCUUUUCUGUUAAUCUGUUGUGCUAUUCCUUAUCUGCUCUAGCUUACCUUGGGGAAGCAUGUGAAAUAAGGGCAGAGACAGUGCUUUAGAAAUGAAUAUAUAAGAUUGCUGCUAUAGUGCCAUUGAAUCUCUGGCUAGAGUGCUGCUGCUUUUUUUUUUUUUUUUGGAUGAGGUUUAUGAGGAGCUUGUUCAGGCUAUCAAAGAUGCAGAGCAAUGGCUCCUUCAGUUGAAACGUGCAAGGUUGCUACGAGAGGUGGAUUCGGUUCUAGAUAGUUCCAAGUAUGUCGCUGAUGAUGUCAAAGUGGAGCCCCUUGAUCCAACACAAGUUGAAGCAGAACCACUGGCGGAUCUAAGUUAUUCUGUUGGAUCUAAGUGUAGAAUCCACCACACUGAUGGACGUUGGUAUGAUGGUCUGAUUUUUGGAUUGGAAGGUUAUAAUUCAGCGAAGAUUUCUUUCCUCACACCAACAUCUGAAAACAUGUUGUGAUGCUUUUGGGCCAGAUUGAUAAUGUUUGCAUGGGCGCAAUUUACAUUAUAUUUUUUCUUUAUGGAAAACAUGUACAGCUGAUAUGUUUUGUUAUUACGUUUCUUUUUUUUGUAGUUUGAAUUGUAAUUGUUGGUUCAGAUAGUAUAUGUAUUUGUUAGAUUAUACUAUGUUUCUGAAUUCUUAUUUUCUUUGAUAUGUACGGUUAAUAGUUAAGUUGUGUAUAUGGUUGAAAAUUGAAUGCUAUAGGUU